UACGGAGGAUGCAAGCGUUAUCCGGAUUUAUUGGGUUUAAAGGGUGCGAAGGUUGUUUGAUAAGUCAGUGGUGAAAGUCUGUCGCUUAACGGUAGGAUUGCCAUUGAUACUGUUGGACUUGAAUAUGGAUGAGGUAGGCGGAAUGUGUAGUGUAGCGGUGAAAUGCAUAGAUAUUACACAGAACACCGAUUGCGAAGGCAGCUUACUAAUCCAUCAUUGACGCUGAGGCACGAAAGCGUGGGGAUCAAACAGGA
rnacentral:rRNA from 1 species